rnacentral:rRNA from 1 species
AUGCUUGUUCUUGCAUGUUGUAUUCUUCAUUACUGCAUCUUAGACUUGGGUCUUGAUGAGUAUGUGCCGGAGGAUGAAUAUGUUGAGUCCGAUCAUGGUGUGGAGUCAGAUGAAAAUGAAGAUUGGCACAACAAAAGAUUGGAGUACACUAUUUUGGAUGUAAGAUCCAAAGCUAAAACAGGAUGGACUAUUUACGAGUCGGCCUGGGGUUGGCCCGGGGCCGAUUUAAGCCUGAUCUUCUUAGGAUCCCCUCAAAAAAAAAAGCCUGAUCUUCUUAGGUGCGGUUUGACGAGCGAAAUCGAAAACCAGCCCGGUCGAACUGCUGCGCUAGGGACCCAGAGUACACCGCCGUCGUCCUCUAGGUCCGGAUCUACACCACCCGCCGGCUCGCCGGACCGACAACACCGUCCGCCUUGGUCCCUCCAUCCGAACAAGAUGUACUCCAGUAUUCAGUUUUUCAGGCGAUCUAGUACAACAGGAUUUAGGAUGCCUCGACUUGGAGACCCAGAAGCAUCUUCGGUCUUGAGAAUUGCAGCAGAGUUUGGGUACCUCGCUUCCAUCGCCGCAGGAUGCUGGUUUGAUAACAACCUAUAUAGAUAUGGAAUGAGCUAUAUGCCCACCUUCUUAUAUUGGAGCAGAACCAUGCGGUGUAUCGGAGAUCCUUUCAUGGCAUGGAACCUUCUCUGGUUAGUUCUUGACGAAAUCGAUUCACCCAUGGCGCGGCCCUUUACUUGGGGGAGAAUUUAA